GAUCAGGUAGGAAUACCCGCUGAACUUAAGCAUAUCAAUAAGCGGAGGAAAAGAAACCAACAGGGAUUGCCCCAGUAACGGCGAGUGAAGCGGCAACAGCUCAAAUUUGAAAUCUGGCUUCGGCCCGAGUUGUAAUUUGUAGAGGAUGCUUUUGGUGAGGUGCCUUCUGAGUUCCCUGGAACGGGACGCCAGAGAGGGUGAGAGCCCCGUAUAGUUGGACACCGAGCCUCUGUAAAGCUCCUUCGACGAGUCGAGUAGUUUGGGAAUGCUGCUCAAAAUGGGAGGUAUAUCUCUUCUAAAGCUAAAUACUGGCCAGAGACCGAUAGCGCACAAGUAGAGUGAUCGAAAGAUGAAAAGCACUUUGAAAAGAGGGUUAAAUAGUACGUGAAAUUGUUGAAAGGGAAGCGCUUGUGACCAGACUUGUGCCCGGCUGAUCAUCCAGUGUUCUCACUGGUGCACUCUGCCGGGCUCAGGCCAGCGUCGGUUCUCGCAGGGGGACAAAAGCUUCGGGAACGUAGCUCCUCCGGGAGUGUUAUAGCCCGUUGCUCAAUACCCCUGCGGGGACCGAGGU
rnacentral:rRNA from 1 species